rnacentral:rRNA from 1 species
UAACGCGUUAAGUGGCCCCCCUGGGGAGUACGGCCCCAAGGUUAAAAUUCAAAUGAAUUGACGGGGGCCCGCCCAAGCGGUGGACCAUGUGGUUUAUUUGGAUGCAACGGGAAGACCCUUCCCUACUCUUGCCAUCCAGAGAAUUUCCCAGAGAUGAUUUGGUCCUUUCGGGAAUUUUGAGCCAGGUGUUCCAUGGCGUUCUUCAGUUCGUGUUGUGAAAUGUUGGGUUAAGUCCCGCAACGAGCGCAACCCUUUUCCUUUGUUCCCAGCGGUCCGGCCGGGAACUCAAAGGAGACUGCCAGUGAUAAACUGGAGGAAGGUGGGGAUGACGUCAAGUCAUCAUGGCCCUUACGACUAGGGCUACACACGUGCUACAAUGGUGCAUACAAAGAGAAGCGACCUCGCGAGAGCAAGCGGACCUCAUAAACUGCGUCGUAGUCCGGAUUGGAGUCUGCAACUCGACUCCAUGAAGUCGGAAUCGCUAGUAAUCGUAGAUCAGAAUG